CAGCCGCCGCGGGAAUACGGAGGGUGCAAGCGUUAAUCGGAAUUACUGGGCGUAAAGCGCACGCAGGCGGUUUGUUAAGUCAGAUGUGAAAUCCCCGAGCUUAACUUGGGAACUGCAUUUGAAACUGGCGAGCUAGAGUCUUGUAGAGGGGGGUAGAAUUCCAGGUGUAGCGGUGAAAUGCGUAGAGAUCUGGAGGAAUACCGGUGGCGAAGGCGGCCCCCUGGACAAAGACUGACGCUCAGGUGCGAAAGCGUGGGGAGCAAACAGGAUUAGAUACCCGCGUAGUCCCUGUCUCUUAUAA
rnacentral:rRNA from 1 species